GGAAUUGUUCGCAAUGGGCGCAAGCCUGACGACGCAACGCCGCGUGGAGGAUGAAGGGCUUCGGAUUGUAAACUCCUGUUGCUCGGGACGAAUGGCUCCGACCUAAUACGUCGAAGUGUGACGGUACCGGGUGAGGAAGCCCCGGCUACCUCUGGGCCAGCAGCCGCGGUAAUACAGAGGGGGCAAGCGUUGUUCGGAAUUACUGGGCGUAAAGGGCGCGUAGGCGGCCUGUUAAGUCGAACGUGAAAUCCCCGGGCUCAACCCGGGAACUGCGUCCGACACUGGCAGGCUUGAAUCCGGGAGAGGGAUGCGGAAUUCCAGGUGUAGCGGUGAAAUGCGUAGAUAUCUGGAGGAACACCGGUGGCGAAGGCGGCAUCCUGGACCGGCAUUGACGCUGAGGCGCGAAAGCCAGGGGAGCAAAC
rnacentral:rRNA from 1 species